AUGACAGGCGAUGGAGAUGAUUCUGAUUUGGAUUUGGCCUGGAAAAUGUUGAAUACUGCAAGGGUGAUAGUUGCCAAGAGUCCAGAUAAGACAAUGGAGAAGGUUAAUAUAUUGAAUUCUCUGGCUGAAAUCUCCAUGAGAAGAGAGGACAGACACAGCUCAAUCGAUUACUACUUCGAAGCUUUAGCGAUCUUGGAACAUUUGGUUAGGCCUGACCAUUUUCGAUUUUUCCAGCAAAACUACCGCAUUUUGGCCUUUGAGUUAGCAUCCAAGGUUGGGGAUGCAAUCCCAUAUUGUGCAAAGGCUAUUUCAGUAGGCAAGUCGCUUAUGCAUAAUCUGAUAAAUGCCAAGGAAGCUUUGUUAUCUGAUAAAGGACACUUAGGUAAGUCGACUCUAGAAGAUGCGAUAUCUUACCUUGCUAGAAUGUUGCCUCGACUCCAGAAGAAGCUUGAAGAACUGAAGCAAGCAAUGUCAACCCCAAGUGAUAGUAUAGAUAAUAUUAUGAAGAGGGUGGUCUCAGUGACAAGUCAUGAGCAGAAUGUUAACAAUACUAUGGCAAGAACUGCAUCUUUGACUUCUUCACAGAUGGCGGGAUCAAGCAACAGCUUCCAUUCAUCAACUAUGUCUACGGCAGCCGCCAGAGGAAGCACUGGAAGUAGCGUAACUGACUUUGAGAUUGUUGGCAGAGACAUGAAACGAGCUAAUGACAAGAAGAGACUUGCAGCAGAUAAUUCACCAUCCGUGAAUGAAAUGUGA
rnacentral:rRNA from 1 species